CCAGCACCCCGAGUUGUCGGGACGAUUAUUGGGCCUAAAGCAUCCGUAGCCUGUUCUGCAAGUCCUCCGUUAAAUCCACCUGCUCAACGGAUGGGCCGCGGAGGAUACCGCAGAGCUAGGAGGCGGGAGAGGCAAACGGUACUCAGUGGGUAGGGGUAAAAUCCAUUGAUCUACUGAAGACCACCAGUGGCGAAGGCGGUUUGCCAGAACGCGCUCGACGGUGAGGGAUGAAAGCUGGGGGAGCAAACCGGAUUAGAUACCCGGGUAGUCCCAGCUGUAAACGAUGCAGACUCGGUGAUGGGUUGGCCUCGGGCCAACCCAGUGCCGCAGGGAAGCCGUUAAGUCUGCCGCCUAGGGAGUACGGUCGCAAGACUG
rnacentral:rRNA from 1 species